CCCUUAGAUGUCCGGGGCCGCACGCGCGCUACACUGAAGGAAUCAGCGUGGCUUUCUCCCUGACCCGAAAGGGUUGGGAAACCCGUUGAAUCUCCUUCGUGAUAGGGAUUGGGGCUUGAAAUUGUUCCCCAUGAACGAGGAAUUCCCAGUAAGCGCGAGUCAUAAGCUCGCGUUGAUUACGUCCCUGCCCUUUGUACACACCGCCCGUCGCUACUACCGAUUGAACGGUUUAGUGAGGCCUCGGAUUGGUCUCGGCCCGCUCUUUACCGGGCGGCGCCGUUGGUCGAGAAGACGCUCGAACUUGAUCGUUUAGAGGAAGUAAAAGUCGUAACA
rnacentral:rRNA from 1 species